rnacentral:misc_RNA from 1 species
AAUAAAUUCGACAAAAGUAAUUAGCCUUUAAGCCAGCAAGAAUCGCACAUACGCGGGGAUUUUAACGGCAAACCGCUCCCACGGUCGCCCCACGGUUUCUUCCCACUCCAUUUCCAGCUUGUACACUGAAACCACCGUCCUUAUCCACACCUUUCUCUCUCUCUGAGCACCCAAUUUAUAUAUACAGCCUUCUCAACGCCAUCGCUCUCAUCACUUCAUUUCUCUUUCGUUAGCUUCCAAAUCUAAACGACAGCACAAAACCCAGAAAACGGCAAUGGCGAUGGCUAUGGUUGACGACUGCCACUCUCCUUCCCUCAAAGACAGGCUCAAAUCCUCCAUUUGUUGCUUCGCUGCUCAUGAUAAUCUCCCUGAGAGCCUGGACUCCGUCGAUGACGGCAGCAGGAGGACACAAACGCCGAGAUCUCCAUACGCUUGGUUGAAAUCCACGGCUCAGGAUCUUGAAAUCAGAGACAAAUGUUGGGGCCUGAUUGGAAGAAGAGGUAAGAAUCGGAGGCGUCAUAAUUCUGCCGAUUUUAGGUACGAUCCUGCGAGUUAUUCCCUCAAUUUCGAUGAUGAUAAUAAACGAGAGGAUGAGUUGCCGCUCAAUAAUUUUAUGGCGAGGCUUCCGGCCACCCCAGAGAGGUUGCCGGCGGUGGGAACAACUAGGUGUGAGCUCGUUGCGUGGACAUGAUUGAGGAUGGUAUCUGAUUUUGGUGUUAUAUAAUAUAUUUUUAUACAUAUUUUCUAAUUGUAACUCCUCAAUCUUGACUUCAUCUGUGUUUGUAUGUGCAGAAAUCUAAAUCUAAUUCUCUGUAUUUGUAAAGAGAAGCGGAAAAUUGUAUAGUGAGUUUCUUAUAAUUUCUUAUAAAAUUAAAUGUUACCCAAUCCUGAAUUUCGUAGUUUUAGGAUAGUGGCUUUGGACUGAGGGUAAAAAUGAAUAUUUUUGGGGUGGGUUGGAGUGGGUGGAUAAGGAAGAAGCAAGGUAUUUUUCUGAGAGGGGUCAACUAGGAUUGUAGGACCAAUUGCCUGGCGGAAAAGAUAGAGAGCAUAUUUAUGAAUGGAAGGGAAGGGAAGGGAUAGGGAUGGAAUGAAUACGCGGGAGUUUGUAGCUUCGUCAAAAUGAAGCGAAAGUUGAUAUGUGA